UCACCCCUCAAGCCCAGCUUGGUGUUGAGGCCUGCCGUGAAGGCAGCCUCUAAAAUCAGUGGCAGUGCUGUCAGGCUCUAAGCGUAGUAAAUCUCUCGCUACAGGGUCUUGAUGGACACUCGCCAGAACCCCCAAUUUUUAAU
rnacentral:misc_RNA from 1 species